rnacentral:rRNA from 1 species
GACGAACGCUGGCGGCGUGCUUAACACAUGCAAGUCGAGCGCCCGUAGCAAUACGGGAGCGGCAGACGGGAGAGUAACACGUGGGAACAUGCCCUUCGGUUCGGAAUAACUCAGGGAAACUUGAGCUAAUACCGGAUACGUCCGUAAGGAGAAAGAUUUAUCGCCGAAGGAUUGGCCCGCGUCCGAUUAGCUUGUUGGUGAGGUAAUGGCUCACCAAGGCGACGAUCGGUAGCGGUCUGAGAGGAUGAUCAGCCUCACUGGGACUGAGACACGGCCCAGACUCCUACGGGAGGCAGCAGUGGGGAAUAUUGGACAAUGGGCGAAAGCCUGAUCCAGCCAUGCCGCGUGGGUGAUGAAGGCCUUA